GGGCGCGUAGCUUAGUGGUGGAGCACCCGGCUGAUAACCGGGAGGUCCCCGGUUCAAUCCCGGGCGUGCCCA
rnacentral:tRNA from 1 species